rnacentral:rRNA from 1 species
GAUGAACGCUGGCGGCGUGCCUAACACAUGCAAGUCGAGCGGCAGCGCGAGUCUUUUACUACUUGGCGGCGAGCGGCGGACGGCUGAGUAACGCGUAGGAACGUGCCCCAAAGUGAGGAAUAACUGCCCGAAAGGGUGGCUAAUGCCGCAUAUGAUCUUCGGAUUAAAGUCUUCGGACGCUUUGGGAGGGGCCUGCGUUAGAUUAGGUAGUUGGUGAGGUAAUGGCUCACCAAGCCGACGAUCUAUAGCUGGUCUGAGAGGAUGAUCAGCCAGACUGGGACUGAGACACGGCCCAGAAUCCUACGGGAGGGAGCAGUGAGGAAUCUUCCACAAUGGGCGAAAGCCUGAUGGAGCAACGCCGCGUGAAGGAUGAAGGCCCUAGGGUCGUAAACUUCGUUUAUAAGUGAAGAAUAUGACGGUAACUUAUGAAUAAGCACCGGCUAACUACGUG